AUAAAAUGGAAAUGUCAGCCAUGUGCAGUGGCUCACGCCUGUAAUCCCAGCACUUUGGGAGGCUGAGGUGACUUUGUGAUGUGAUCUGAGACCUGCAUGAGAAGAAACUGAUCUUAUACAACCCUGAGCCAAGCCAAGUGAGGUUUUGCAUCUCCAACUAUUGCUUGGAGUGUGCCACGUAACCAGCACCAAGAGGGACAACCAGCUGAAGGAAGAGAGACCACAUGGAGGAGAAUAGAGAGUCAAGCUCACUUAUGAGUCUGGGGAUCAACUGCCAGCUUGCAUGGAGUUUCUGGGGUUUGGCUGGCUCUCUGGUAGGCAGAGGAGCAGACUCUAAUAUCCAGGUAUUGAUAACAAUUACUGCAAUAAAGAUUGAAGGAUGGUAAAGAAGCGUGU
rnacentral:lncRNA from 13 species